rnacentral:snRNA from 1 species
ACAAUUACAUUACAAUAUAUCAGGUCUAAUAUCUUUUAUAACCAGGAGAGAGCAUACAGCACACAAACAUUUCACAAGCCAUUUUAGAGGGUUCCCAAAUGUGGGAAUCUCAACUGCAUAAUUUCUGGUAGUGGGGAACUGCAUUCACGCUCUCCCCUG